rnacentral:rRNA from 1 species
GACGAACGCUGGCGGCGUGCUUAACACAUGCAAGUCGAACGGAAAGGCCCUGCUUUUGUGGGGUGCUCGAGUGGCGAACGAGUGAGUAACACGUGAGUAACCUGCCCUUGACUUUGGGAUAACUUCAGGAAACUGGGGCUAAUACCGGAUAGGAGCUCCUGCUGCAUGGUGGGGGUUGGAAAGUUUCGGCGGUUGGGGAUGGACUCGCGGCUUAUCAGCUUGUUGGUGGGGUAGUGGCUUACCAAGGCUUUGACGGGUAGCCGGCCUGAGAGGGUGACCGGCCACAUUGGGACUGAGAUACGGCCCAGACUCCUACGGGAGGCAGCAGUGGGGAAUAUUGCACAAUGGGCGGAAGCCUGAUGCAGCAACGCCGCGUGCGGGAUGACGGCCUUCGGGUUGUAAACCGCUUUCGCCUGUGACGAAGCGUGAGUGACGGUAAUGGGCAAAGAAGCACCGGCUAACUACGUG